GGAUGACACUUUUCGGAGCGUAAACUCCUUUUAUCAGGAAAGAAUAAUGACGGUACCUGAUGAAUAAGCACCGGCUAACUCCGUGCCAGCAGCCGCGGUAAUACGGGGGGUGCAAGCGUUACUCGGAAUCACUGGGCGUAAAGGACGCGUAGGCGGAUUAUCAAGUCUUUUGUGAAAUCUAGUGGCUUAACCACUAAACUGCUUAGGAAACUGAUAGUCUAGAGUAGGGGAGAGGUAGAUGGAAUUCUUGGUGUAGGGGUAAAAUCCGUAGAGAUCAAGAAGAAUACCCAUUGCGAAAGCGAUCUGCUGGAACCUAACUGACGCUGAGGCGUGAAAGCGUGGGUAGCAAACAGGAUUAGAUACCCUGGUAGUCCACGCCCUAAACGAUGUAUACUAGUUGUUGCUUUGCUAGUCAAGGCAGUAAUGCAACUAACGCAUUAAGUAUACCGCCUGGGGAGUACGGUCGCAAGAUUAAAACUCAAAGGAAUAGACGGGGACCCGCACAAGCGGUGGAGCAUGUGGUUUAAUUCGAAGAUACGCGAAGAACCUUACCUGGACUUGACAUCCUAAAAACAUCUAAGAGAUUAGAAAGUGCUAGUUUACUAGAAUUUAGUGACAGGUGCUGCACGGCUGUCGUCAGCUUGUGUCGUGAGAUGUUGGGUUAAGUCCCGCAACGAGCGCAACCCACGUGUUUAGUUGCUAACAGCUCGGCUGAGCACUCUAAACAGACUGCCUUCGUAAGGAGGAGGAAGGUGUGGACGACGUCAAGUCAUCAUGGCCCUUAUGUCCAGGCGACACACGUGCUACA
rnacentral:rRNA from 1 species